rnacentral:misc_RNA from 1 species
GGAUCACCUGUUGCUGUUCUGGAGGAAGAACGGAGAAAAACUGCUGGUGAGGGCAGGAAAUCAGCUGAAGUUGCCAAACCUGGUUCUUCAUCAUCAGGAACUGAAUUGAAGUCAGGAAAGCUGCACGAAGCUUCAUUCAGCUCCAUGAAUGCAUUGAUUGAGAGCUGUGCAAAAUAUUCUGAAGCAAAUGCAUCCAUGUCUCUAAGUGAUGCUGUUGGAAUGAAUCUGCUAGCCAGUGUAGCUACUGAAGAAAUGUCCAAGUCUGGAAGGGUUUCACCUUUUGUUUCUCCCCAAGGAGAUAGCCCUUCAGGUGGGGAGACCUGCACAGGUGAUGAGCUUAAGCCAAAGACAUCUCCUGUAGAUAGUUCUUCAGGCAACCAUAGUGGGCGAAAUGACGGUGAUGCUAAUGGUGAUAAAGAGAAACAGUUCGUUGUUGCUAAUACGUCGUGGUCUGAGGGUAAAGUACAUGCUAAUAGAAGUGCAAUGACGGAUUUUAACAGAGAAAGAAGGCCCUCUUCAUCUCCUUCUGAAGAAACAACCACGGGAGAGUGCUUUAAUUCAUCCUGCACUGAUUCACAGAUGGCUGGAAAUUUGAAAUCAGGUGUUAAUGAGAAGUUAGUUGAGAUGGCAAAGUCUGCUGCGGCUCCUUGCAAUGUAUUCGAAAAAGCAAGUGAUGGUGAACAGAGCAGACAAUUCCAUGAGGAAAAAGUAAUUUCCACUAAGACACUUGAUAAUGUUCUAGAUGGCGAAUCAGGUGGACAUGGUAGUUCAAUAGGAGAGGACAAAGUCACUAAUGGCCUUGUAAGCAUAGAAGGCUUGAAACGACCAGUUGGAAUUUCUGCUUUUAAAUAUGAGGGCGACGACAAAAAUGAUGUGAGUAGGGUGUUAGGUGUUGCUAGUACAGAGGUGAAACCGCCUUCGGUUGUGGUGAAAUCUGAAGCUACAGAAAGAGGUGACAAGGAAGAGUUGCAACAAACUGGUUCUAGUCGAGACACUAUUGCAGGGAAAGGUGGACAUUCUGAUGAAAUGGAUGCAAAUAGUGUUUUAAAGUCAGAACAGCCAAAUUCUGAUAAAAAGACUGUUGAUACUUCAGUUAUUGAGGAUAAAGCCGCAUCUGAAUGUAAUUUAGCUAUAAGGAAUUUGACAAAGGAUGAACCUAAAGCUGAAGAGAUGACGAAGCAUGAUUCUGGCAGUGGAUUACUUACUAAGAAAGAGACACCUGGAUUUUCUAAUGCAGAAGUGGAAAAUGUGGAAUCAAGAGAAUCUAAAUACUCUGGUGUAGAGGCAGAUAGACCAAUGGAAUGUGUAUCCAUCAAAGGGGAAAAUUCUUCAAGCUCUGCUGCUGCUGCCCCAGAUUCAGCUUCAAAGAUGAAGUUUGACUUAAAUGAAGGUU